AUGUACAACAUAUACUGUCUGAAUGGUCAAGAUACAACAGUAGUUACAAGGGGGCUUUAUCCGCCACCCUUUUUUGCACACUAUCUAGGUUUCUUCAAUUUAAAGCAACAGUUAUUACUUUUUUAAUCCUUAUCUUAUCUUAAUUUUCACUAUAUAUCAGAUUAAAACAAAGUUAAAAAAUAAACCAACUUUAGUUCAUAACCACAAUCUCUUUAAGUACCAUAUGACUUGGAAGUAAUUAAAUGUAACAUAUAAUGAAUAUUUUUAAAAUUGUACACAGUAGUGGUCUAAGAAUUUAAAUGAAUCAUGUGAAUUUUAAUAAAAUAAUUUACAAUUUUAUCUACGGUGACAUUUUGAGUUAUUAAUGACAGCACUUUAUUACCUUGUGUACCAGAGUUCAGAAUGGCUCUAAGACACUAAGAAAAGCUAAAACAGUUUAUGGAAGUAAAUAAUGAACAGACGAUGGACACAAUAAGAACAUAUUAGAGGUUAUAGUUACUAGAAUUCUGUAAUAUUAUUAGAAGUUAUAGGUUACUAGAAUUAUAUAAUAAUAUUAGUAGUUAUAGUUACUAGAAUUCUGGAGAAAGGUCGUUGAUCCAGGGAGUUAUUCUGAUUACCUGAUUGAAGUCAGGAAGUAAUUUUUUCCUCUAAAAUUAGGAAAAUUGUUUUCUAUCUCAUAAGGGUUUGUUGCCUUCCUCUGGCUCAAUUUUGCAGAAUAACAGGCCUGAACGGAAAGGAAAGAUAUAUUUUUUUUCAGCCUUACAAACUAAGUAAGUGAACUUGAUGGACGUAAUGUAUUUUUUCAACCAUAAUAAUUACAUAUGCAACUAUGUAACUAUAUACUAUGCUAUAUAAAAUAUAGUAGUUGUCUACUCAGAUGUGAAGUACAUUGCUUGUGGUUUUUUACUAUGGAUUGUUCAAUAUAAUAAUUGAGAAAUCAUAAAGUAAGGAAUGCAAUGGAGAAACAAGGUAUGUAAUAUAUCUGUUAUAUCCUAAAGAUCUGACAAAUUUUAUACAUAUUUAUCAUCUUUACAACCAUUUUACACUUACAAACACUUUCUAUGAAUUGCAAUAUAUUUUCCAGCAUUCUUGGAAAUCGGUCAUAAUUACUCCAUAUAUCUUUAUAGUAGGAGCUAUCUCUUUGUCCUAUCUUGUGUUAUGUACUUGUCCCUAUGGAUUUCUUACAACAGUUUUAUAACAUCAGAUUAUUUCUACAGCCGUGCAGUGGGCCUUUUCUAAAGUGCUUUUUACAGUAACACUAAUGUGAAAAAAGUUAAAAAUUAAACAGUUCAGGUAUGCUGAUAUAUGAGGGAAUUAAUAAUUGUACUUGGGCUUACCUACAGUAUAUGGAAGAAGAUAAGUUUUUUUUAAGCUUAUCGAGAAGAUUAUUAAUGAUUUGCUGUGGGAGCAGAAAGAGGUUAAGGCUUAAAUUGGAAUAUUUAUGCAAGCCCUUGGAUCAGGGAGGUUUGAAUAUUUCCUACUUCAAGGGCUAUUUUAUAGCCGGGCAAACUGUGGCUAUAUUGCGAAUGGAAGUUAAGUGUAUUGUGUACUACCUUGGUGAAGAGAUCUCCGUAUAACAAUAUAUUCACACUAUUGGAAUCGGGGCAAUUGAUCAAUAUGCAACAAGAGUACGGAGAGGCUAAAAAGUUAUUAUCUAAGGCAUGGGACACUAUUCGAUGUCUGGAAAUAACGGGAUCUCUUCAGGUGUACUCCCCUCUGGCAUAAUUCUCAAUUACAGGUUUUAGACAAAAUAGCCGGGGACCAGUAUUGUCAAAAAAAUAUAUUUUACAUGUAGCACAAGUGGUGAAGAAUAGAGAGAUUUUUCCAUUCUUGGUGUUAGCACAAACUGAGACUAUGGUUAGUUUGUCCUGGUUUAGAUAUUUUCAAC